AGCCAAGCAAGAGGUGUGAUUGCUGAUUAUGAACACAAAAAAAAUGUGUAGCUCUGCGAUUGUGGAAGUUACUCCGUAUUCCAUGUGAGAGCUGUAUGUGGUUUUAGCCUUCGUAACUACUAUUAGUUUUUAUGGGAGCAGCUGAGCUGAAACUACAUCAUUCUGAUCAUGUAAAGGAAUAUGCAGAAUAAUAACAUGCAUGGAGAAACGGGUGUACGAUGUGAUAGUCACCACCUUUACAGAGAUCUCCAGAUUUCCAGGCCUUCAGCCUGGGCAAGUCCCAUAAUUUCUCUGGACCUCAAUCAAUCCUACUCUUCAAUGCUAUAAUGCUUACCUCACAGAGGAUAUGAAGAUUAACUAAG